AAGACGACAAAUAAGAAUGGUAUUAAGUUGGUAGAAUGGAACUCCUUCCUGAUUCCUGCACAUGUAAGUUACCAGAUACUCUUGAGGGACCAAUUUAAGGGCAAACAGACAAACAUUUUGAUGCAAAGAAAGCAUUGGAUUUGAAAGUUCCCAUGGAGAAGAAAAAUGGAGAGAUUCUAAAAGUAUGAAGAUACUCCUGUGUAUAAUGAGGAAAUCUUGUCAGUGAAUGUUGUUGCAAUUGUGGACCAGGCCAGAGUUGUACUAAACCAACUAAGACACAAUGAGAUACAGGAAUGACACAAUGAGAAACAGGAAACAGGAAAGUGAUGACUGAUCGCCACCUGUUACAAAUUCAUCUAGAAAACUCCCCACAUCCAACAAGAGACAGUCUGACUUCAAAAUCUUCAUUGAAAGCAACUUAAUGGACAAGACAUCCGUCACAUAAAGAUUCACUAAAAUUGGAAUGAUAUACCAAUUUUAACUUUUAACAGACAAAUACAUUAUAGAUUUGAAAAUAGAUUACCCUUAAAUAAGUUGGAUGAUUAACAUUUACCUCAACACAGUACAAAGUGCUCAUGUUGAACUAUUGUGAUUGAUCAUAGUCUGUCCUUCAUUUAUAUUAACAGUUUCAUACAGUGUUAACACUUUAGUAUGGGGACUCAUUUUAGCUCAACUUUUCGAAGAAUAUGGAGAGCUAUACUACUCACCCAAGCGUCGGCGUUGGCGUCACCCCUUGGUUAAGGGUUUGCGUGCAAGCACACAUAGGUAAAUAUCUCAGCAACUACUUGAGGUAUUGCAUUGAGACUUUAUACAAUGGUACUCAACCAUCCAACCUACUUAAUUAACCAAGUUUGAUAACUACUUUGCAUUUAAUGCCAAUAAUAGGCCUUUAAUAUUUGACUUAGAAAUUCUGUUUAAGGUUUUGCAUGCAAGCACACAUAGGUUAAUAUCUCAGCAACUACUUGAGGUAUUGCAUUGAGACUUGAUACAAUGGUACUCAACCAUCCAACCUACUUAUUUAAACAAGUAAGAUAACUCUAGUUUGCAUUUAAUGUAAAUAAUAGGCCUUUAUUAUUUGACUUAGAAAUUCUGGUUAAGGUUUUGCAUGCAAGCACACAUAGGUUAAUAUCUCAGCAACUGCUUGAGGUAUUGCAUUGAGACUUGAUACAAUGGUACUCAACCAUCCAACCUACUUAUUUAAACAAGUAAGAUAACUCUAGUUUGCAUUU